ACGAACGCUGGCGGCGUGCUUAACACCUGCCAGUCGAACGGAAAGGCCCUGCUUUUGUGGGGUGCUCGAGUGGCGAACGGGUGAGUAACACGUGAGUAACCUGCCCUUGACUUUGGGAUAACUUCAGGAAACUGGGGCUAAUACCGGCUAGGAGCUCCUGCUGCAUGGUGGGGGUUGGAAAGUUUCGGCGGUUGGGGAUGGACUCGCGGCUUAUCAGCUUGUUGGUGGGGUAGUGGCUUACCAAGGCUUUGACGGGUAGCCGGCCUGAGAGGGUGACCGGCCACAUUGGGACUGAGAUACGGCCCAGACUCCUACGGGAGGCAGCAGUGGGGAAUAUUGCACAAUGGGCGGAAGCCUGAUGCAGCAACGCCGCGUGCGGGAUGACGGCCUUCGGGUUGUAAACCGCUUUCGCCUGUGACGAAGCGUGAGUGACGGUAAUGGGUAAAGAAGCACCGGCUAACUACGUG
rnacentral:rRNA from 1 species